CUACCAUGGCUUUCACGGGUAACGGAGGAUUAGGGUUCGAUUCCGGAGAGGGAGCCUGAGAAACGGCUACCACAUCUAAGGAAGGCAGCAGGCGCGUAAAUUACCCAAUUCUGACUCAGAGAGGUAGUGACAAGAAAUAACGGGUCGGGACUUUGUCCCGGGACUGCAAUGAACCGAAUCUACACACCUUAGCCAGCAACAAUUGGAGGGCAAGUCUGGUGCCAGCAGCCGCGGUAAUUCCAGCUCCAAUAGCGUAUAUUAAAGUUGUUGCAGUUAAAAAGCUCGUAGUUGGAUUUCUGGCAGGGUGCCUGUGCCCUAAGCUUAGUGUGCACAGAUGCCUUUCCAUCCUUCUGUUAACCUUGGAGGCUUUUACGGCUUCCCUGGGGCUCAGAUAUUUUACCUUGAGAAAAUUAGAGUGUUUCAGGCAGGCUAGCGCCGGAAUACAUUAGCAUGGAAUAAUAGAAUAGGACAUUUGCCUCUUCUGUUGGUCAUGGGGUUUAUGUAAUGAUUAAUAGGGAUAGUUGGGGGCAUUAGUACUUCACUGUCAGAGGUGAAAUUCUCGGAUUUGUGAAGGACUAACUUAUGCGAAAGCAUUUGCCAAGGAUGUUUUCAUUAAUCAA
rnacentral:rRNA from 1 species